rnacentral:rRNA from 1 species
AUUGAACGCUGGCGGCAUGCUUUACACAUGCAAGUCGAACGGCAGCGCGGGCUUCGGCCUGGCGGCGAGUGGCGAGCGGGUGAGUAAUGCAACGGAACGUGCCCAGUAGUGGGGGAUAGCCCGGCGAAAGCCGGAUUAAUACCGCAUACGACCUGAGGGUGAAAGCGGGGGACCGAAAGGCCUCGCGCUAUUGGAGCGGCCGAUGUCGGAUUAGCUAGUUGGUGGGGUAAAGGCUUACCAAGGCGACGAUCCGUAGCUGGUCUGAGAGGACGACCAGCCACACUGGAACUGAGACACGGCCCAGACUCCUACGGGAGGCAGCAGUGGGGAAUUUUGGACAAUGGGGGCAACCCUGAUCCAGCCAUGCCGCGUGCGGGAAGAAGGCCUUCGGGUUGUAAACCGCUUUUGUUCGGGAAGAAAUCCUCUGGGCUAAUACCCCGGGGGGAUGACGGUACCGGAAGAAUAAGCACCGGCUAACUACGUG